AAAACAUAUAGGCUGGCCAGUAGCUUGAUUUGACGGAGAAUCAGGAGAGAAUUCUUCACUCUCCGCCUCCUCAUCCUCAUGCCACCGUAUGCAGCCUCUUUAGCUUAGCAGUUAGACCCUUUCAGCCUUCACCUCCCAUCUCUGUUACACUUGUUUUCUCUAUGUGCUUAGACCCAUCAACCUUGCUGGCAAUCAGCCAUCUCUCACUUUAAUCAGUUUCUAUUUAAACCUCCCCUCUCUUCUUUUCCUCCUUCUUCUUCUGCUUCUUCUUUUCUUCUUCUUCUUCACGAUUCCUUUAAAACCCUCUCUGUUAUUGUUAGUCAUUCUGUUUCAGUCUUUUUUCUCUUCAUUUCCAUAUAUUUGCGUUUCUAUCGGUUUCGGCUCCUUAACAUGAAUUUCUCUUCUACAAGGAAAAAUUUACCCAUUAAAAUCCCCCUUAGCCAACCCAUUUUAUGUUCUACUUGAUUUUUCCCCCUUCCUGUUUAAUGAUUUUUUCUGUGUCUACAAUCAUGAAAAUUCUUUUUAACCCAUUCUUUCUCUUGUUCGUAAUUGUUGGUUUAUUGUUUCUGCUUCGGUUUCUUUUAAUCAGGACUGGAUUAAUUUAUAUGACCAAGAAAUGGUGGAGAUCAAUCCAAGAUUGUUUUCAUGUGUAUCAAUUCUUCAAGGUUCCAGAAUUCAACGAGAGCAUGCAAGAGAAUCAGCUUUAUUCCAAAGUCUCUGUUUAUCUAAACUCUCUGGCUUCCAUGGAGGACUCCAAUUAUACCAACCUCUUCACCGGAAAAAAAUCCAAUGAUAUCAUACUCCGCCUCGACCCUAGUCAGGUAAUCGAUGAUGAUUUCCUUGGAGCUAGAGUUUCUUGGAUAAACGAAGUGAAAACAGAUACAACCCAUUCUAGAGCUUUCGUUUUGAAGAUCAGAAAAGCCGAUAAGCGAAGAAUUCUCCGGCCUUAUCUCCAGCAGAUCCACACAGUUUUCGACGAGCUCGAGCAGAAGAAGAAGAGAGAAUUGAAGCUUUACAUGAAUAUCAACAGUGAUCAAAAUCAGAACAGACGGUGGAGAUUUGUUCUCUUUACUCAUCCUUCAACGUUUGAAACAAUUGCCAUGGAAUCCGAUCUCAAAAACAAGUUAAAGUCAGAUCUGGAGUCUUUCCUCAAGGCCAAACAAUACUAUCACAGGUUGGGUCGCGCGUGGAAGCGAAGCUAUCUCUUGUACGGGCCAUCAGGUACUGGAAAAUCCAGCUUUAUAGCUGCCAUGGCCAAUUUUCUUGGCUACGAUGUGUAUGACAUCGAUCUUUCCAGAGUUUUAGGCGAUUCUGAUCUCAAAUUGCUCCUGCUACAAACCACAACCAAGUCCGUGAUUGUGGUAGAAGACCUCGAUCGGUUUCUGAUGGGCAAGUCAACGGCUGUAAGCUUAUCAGGUGUUUUAAACUUCAUGGAUGGGAUUUUAAAUUCUUGCUGUGCGGAGGAGAGAAUUAUGGUUUUUACAGUGAAUAGCAAAGAUCACAUCGACCCGGCUAUCCUUAGACCGGGUCGAAUUGACGUCCAUAUCCAUUUUCCGUUAUGCGAUUUCUCAGCAUUCAGGACAUUGGCGAAUAGCUACUUGGGAGUGAAGAAUCACAAGCUGUUUCCUCAAGUAGAGGAAAUUUUCCAAACCGGAGCGAGUCUGAGUCCGGCGGAGAUAGGUGAGCUCAUGAUUGCGAACCGGAAUUCGCCGAGUCGGGCAUUGAAAUCGGUUAUCACGGCCUUGCAAACAGAAGGUGAUUGUAGAGGGUCUGUGGACGUGGGGCGGCGGUUGCUCGAUGGCGGGUCAAGAAACUCCACGGAAGAUUCACCUGAUCACUCGGGUAUAUUUUCUAAAGAAAAUAUCAAUGCCAUCAAAGAUAUCAAGAAAUUAUACGGAUUAUUGAAGUUGAGAAGUAGCAGAAAAGCACCAUCGUUCGACUUGACACCAGGCCAAAGGGAUGUGUGAUGACUGAUGAUACGGGGUCGUAUCAUUUCGGAUAAAUUCACGUUUGGUUAGCACUUGGGGGCCGCACGAGGGGAAAAAAUUAUA
rnacentral:misc_RNA from 1 species